rnacentral:pre_miRNA from 1 species
CGUACGUACGUACGUACGUACGUACGUACGUACGUACGUACGUACGUACGUACGUACGUACGUACGUACGUACGUACGUACGUACUCUCUCUACUC